GGAAGAGUGUCGCGUCCCGGUGGGCCGGCCAGACUUCAAAUCUGGUAGGGGUUGCCAGCAAUCCCUGGUGGGUUCGACUCCCAUACUCUUCCGCCA
rnacentral:tRNA from 2 species